GAGUCCUUGCCCAAGUUGUUAGCUUCUUUCCACAUAGUUGCUUAUUUGAAUGUCCAUCUUUGAUGAACAUGACCAUAAAAAACUGUCCUGAAAUGAGGACAUUCCUCACUUCUCCAUGCCCGAAAGAGAAAUUGUCCAAUCCGGUGGGUGAAAGAAGCAAAAGAGCGUGCGAGGAUAGUGGUGACAUUAACAUCCCUCAAGAACCCUUCUUCUGUGAAAAGGUUCUGUUCCCUAGCUUGCAAAUAUUGGUGCUUUCCCACAUGGAGAGCUUGAGCAUCAUAUGGCAUGACCUACUUGCAGAGAAGUCGUUUGAUCAACUGAGGGAUGUCAAGAUCGAUCAUUGCAAAAAGCUGAUGAGAAUAUUUCCGCCCCAAAACCACCCUUGAAAGAUUCAGGAAUCUGGAGAAGCUGCGUAUAGCUUAUUGUGAUUCAUUGGAAGGGUUGUUUGACAUUGCCGGGCGGUGCCAUGAUCCUGUAGUAAAGAUGUCGUUGAGAAAACUGUGUCUGUCUAAUUUGCCAAAGCUACUGAGUAUUUGCAAUGCAGAUAUUGGCGGAACCAUCAGCUUUGACGACCUGAAGCCCGUGCAAGUUAUUGCAUGUCCGAAACUUGAAAUUUCCAGGGGGAUUGCCUUUACACGAGAAGAAAGUCAGGAUCUAGAAGAAAGUUCAGAGGCAGACUCCUCUGGCGACUGAAACUCAGGAUAUUGAUGGCAGUGUCUUCUUUGAAGACCUGAAGCCAGUGCUAGUUAUUGAAUGCCCAAAUCUCAAAAAUUUAGGGGGAUUGGCUUUGUUACUGAAUUGAUGCAAAAGAAGGAGAUGAAGAAUAAUUGUCGCUCAUACUUCUACAUUCUUGUAGCUUUAGGAAAGAUGUCUAUUUAUAGAUGGUUGUGAUGAAGGAACAUUUUGCUCUAGUCAACACAUACAUCAUUUUGUUCAAUUUCUUCGUUGCUAUCGGACCAAUUGUUGCGAGACCUCACUCGCAAUUAUACUUAACUACCAUUACCUCCUGCAUUGUCAAUUUCUUGUAUACUGAACAUGUAUCUAUAUGUUAUAUACAGUGGCAUAUGGAUACAUUUUGUUA